rnacentral:rRNA from 1 species
GACGAACGCUGGCGGCGUGCCUAAUACAUGCAAGUCGAGCGAAUGGAUUAAGAGCCUGCUCUUAUGAAGUUAGCGGCGGACGGGUGAGUAACACGUGGGUAACCUGCCCAUAAGACUGGGAUAACUCCGGGAAACCGGGGCUAAUACCGGAUAACAUUUUGAACCGCAUGGUUCGAAAUUGAAAGGCGGCUUCGGCUGUCACUUAUGGAUGGACCCGCGUCGCAUUAGCUAGUUGGUGAGGUAACGGCUCACCAAGGCAACGAUGCGUAGCCGACCUGAGAGGGUGAUCGGCCACACUGGGACUGAGACACGGCCCAGACUCCUACGGGAGGCAGCAGUAGGGAAUCUUCCGCAAUGGACGAAAGUCUGACGGAGCAACGCCGCGUGAGUGAUGAAGGCUUUCGGGUCGUAAAACUCUGUUGUUAGGGAAGAACAAGUGCUAGUUGAAUAAGCUGGCACCUUGACGGUACCUAACCAGAAAGCCACGGCUAACUACGUGCCAGCCGCCGCCGUAAGAC